rnacentral:rRNA from 1 species
AUUGAACGCUGGCGGCACGCCUAACACAUGCAAGUCGAACGAGCGGCGGACGGGUGAGUAAUGUCUGGGAAACUGCCUGAUGGAGGGGGAUAACUACUGGAAACGGUAGCUAAUACCGCAUACCAUCGGAUGUGCCCAGAUGGGAUUAGCUAGUAGGUGGGGUAAAGGCUCACCUAGGCGACGAUCCCUAUCUGGUCUGAGAGGAUGACCAGCCACACUGGACAUGAGACACGGUCCAGACUCCUACGGGAGGCAGCAGUGGGGAAUAUGGCACAAUGGGCGCAAGCCUGAUGCAGCAAUGCCGCGUGUGUGAAGAAGGCCUUCGGGUUGUAAAGUACUUUCAGCGGGGAGGCGUUACUCGCAGAAGAAGCACCGGCUAACGCCGUGCCAGCAGCCGCGGUAAGAC